rnacentral:rRNA from 1 species
CGAAAGCCUGACGGAGCAACGCCGCGUGAGGGAGGAAGGCCCUUGGGUUGUAAACCUCUUUUCUGGGGGAAGAAGUAAUGACGGUACCCCAGGAAUAAGCAUCGGCUAACUCCGUGCCAGCAGCCGCGGUAAUACGGAGGAUGCAAGCGUUAUCCGGAAUCAUUGGGCGUAAAGCGUCCGCAGGUGGCUAUUCAAGUCUGCUGUCAAAGCAUGGAGCUUAACUCCAUAGAGGCAGUGGAAACUGAAAGGCUAGAGGCCGGUAGGGGUAGUGGGAAUUCCCAGUGUAGCGGUGAAAUGCGUAGAGAUUGGGAAGAACAUCGGUGGCGAAAGCGCACUACUGGGCAGGACCUGACACUGAGGGACGAAAGCUAGGGGAGCAAAAGGGAUUAGAUACCCCUGUAGUCCUAGCCGUAAACGAUGGAGACUAGGCGUAGCUUGUAUCGACCCAAGCUGUGCCGAAGCUAACGCGUUAAGUCUCCCGCCUGGGGAGUACGCACGCAAGUGUGAAACUCAAAGGAAUUGACGGGGGCCCGCACAAGCGGUGGAGUAUGUGGUUUAAUUCGAUGCAACGCGAAGAACCUUACCAGGGCUUGACAUCUGGCGAAUUUGGGGGAAACCUCGGAGUGCCUUCGGGAGCGCCAAGACAGGUGGUACAUGGCUGUCGUCAGCUCGUGUCGUGGGAUGUUGGGUUAAGUCCCGCAACGAGCGCAACCCUCGUUUUUAGUUGCCAUCAUUAAGUUGGGCACUCUAGAGAGACUGCCGGUGACAAACCGGAGGAAGGUGGGGAUGACGUCAAGUCAGCAUGCCCCUUACGUCCUGGGCUACACACGUACUACAAUGGUCGGGACAGAGGGCAGCAAACUCGCAAGAGCAAGCGAAUCUCAUCAAACUCGGCCUCAGUUCAGAUUGCAGGCUGCAACUCGCCUGCAUGAAGGAGGAAUCGCUAGUAAUCGCCGGUCAGCAUACGGCGGUGAAUUCGUUCCCGGGCCUUGUACACACCGCCCGUCACACCAUGGGAGCUGGCCACGCCCGAAGUCGUUACCCUAACCCGAAAGGGAGGGGGAUGCCGAAGGCAGGGCUAGUGACUGGGGUGAAGUCGUAACAAGGUAGCCGUACCGGAAGGUGUGGCUGGAUCACCUCCUUU